rnacentral:rRNA from 1 species
AGAGUUUGAUCAUGGCUCAGGAUGAACGCUAGCGGCAGGCUUAAUACAUGCAAGUCGUGGGGCAGCAGGUCUGUAGCAAUACAGAUGCUGGCGACCGGCAAACGGGUGCGGAACACGUACACAACCUUCCUUUAAGUGGGGAAUAGCCCAGGGAAACUUGGAUUAAUACCCCGUAACAUAUAGAAGAGGCAUCUCUUUCAUAUUAUAGCUACGGCGCUUGAAGAUGGGUGUGCGGCUGAUUAGGUAGUUGGCGGGGUAACGGCCCACCAAGCCUACGAUCAGUAACUGGUGUGAGAGCACGACCAGUCACACGGGCACUGAGACAUGGGCCCGACUCCUACGGGAGGCAGCAGUAAGGAAUAUUGGUCAAUGGACGCAAGUCUGAACCAGCCAUGCCGCGUGGAGGAUGAAGGUCCUCUGGAUUGUAAACUUCUUUUAUCUGGGACGAAAAAAGGGAAUUCUUUCUCACUUGACGGUACCAGAUGAAUAAGCACCGGCUAACUCCGUGCCAGCAGCCGCGGUAAUACGGAGGGUGCAAGCGUUAUCCGGAUUCACUGGGUUUAAAGGGUGCGUAGGUGGGCUAGUAAGUCAGUGGUGAAAUCUCCGGGCUUAACCCGGAAACUGCCAUUGAUACUAUUAGUCUUGAAUACCAUGGAGGUGAGCGGAAUAUGUCAUGUAGCGGUGAAAUGCUUAGAUAUGACAUAGAACACCAAUUGCGAAGGCAGCUCGCUACGCGGUUAUUGACACUGAGGCACGAAAGCGUGGGGAUCAAACAGGAUUAGAUACCCUAGUAGUCC